rnacentral:rRNA from 1 species
GAUGAACGCUGACAGAAUGCUUAACACAUGCAAGUCAACUUGAACUUCGGUUUGGGUGGCGGACGGGUGAGUAACGCGUAAAGAACUUGCCUCACAGAUAGGGACAACAUUUGGAAACGAAUGCUAAUACCUGAUAUUAUGAUUUUAGGGCAUCCUAGGAUUAUGAAAGCUAUAUGCGCUGUGAGAGAGCUUUGCGUCCCAUUAGCUAGUUGGAGAGGUAACGGCUCACCAAGGCGAUGAUGGGUAGCCGGCCUGAGAGGGUGAUCGGCCACAAGGGGACUGAGACACGGCCCGUACGCAUACGGGAGGCAGCAGUGGGGAAUAUUGGACAAGGGACCAAGAGUCUGAUCCAGCAAUUCGGUGUGCACGAUGAAGUUUUUCGGAAUGUAAAGUGCUUUCAGUUGGGAAGAAAAAAAUGACGGUACCAACAGAAGAAGUGACGGCUAAAUACGUG